rnacentral:rRNA from 1 species
UACCUGCAGCUCAAGUAGUGGCCGCUAUUAUUGGGCCUAAAACGUCCGUAGCCGGUUCUAUAAAUGCCUGGGUAAAUCGUACGGCCUAACCGUACGAAUUCCGGGUAGACUGUUCAACUUGAGACCGGGAGAGGCUAGAGGUACUCCUGGGGUAGAGGUGAAAUUCUGUAAUCCUAGGGGGACCACCAGUGGCGAAGGCGUCUAGCUAGAACGGGUCUGACGGUGAGGGACGAAGCCCUGGGGAGCAAACGGGAUUAGAUACCCCGGUAGUCCAGGGUGUAAACGCUGCUCGCUUGAUGUUAGUUGGGCUCCGAGCCCGACUAGUGUCGGAGAGAAGUUGUUAAGCGAGCUGCCUGGGGAGUACGGUCGCAAGACUGAAACUUAAAGGAAUUGGCGGGGAGCACCGCAACGGGUGGAGCGUGCAGUUU